rnacentral:rRNA from 1 species
CCUACGGGAGGCAGCAGUGGGGAAUAUUGGGCAAUGGGCGCAAGCCUGACCCAGCAACGCCGCGUGAAGGAAGAAGGCUUUCGGGUUGUAAACUUCUUUUAAGAGGGAAGAGAAGAAGACGGUACCUCUUGAAUAAGCCACGGCUAACUACGUGCCAGCAGCCGCGGUAAUACGUAGGUGGCAAGCGUUGUCCGGAUUUACUGGGUGUAAAGGGCGUGCAGCCGGGAAGAAAAGUCAGAUGUGAAAUCCCGCGGCUCAACCGCGGUACUGCAUUUGAAACUGUUUUUCUUGAGUACCGGAGAGGUCAUCGGAAUGCCUUGUGUAGCGGUGAAAUGCGUAGAUAUAAGGAAGAACACCAGUGGCGAAGGCGGAUGACUGGACGGCGACUGACGGUGAGGCGCGAAAGCGUGGGGAGCGAACAGGAUUAGAUACCCCGGUAGUC